AUGCUCACUUCAGCAGCACCUAUGCUGAAAUUGGAACAAUACAGAGAAGAUUAUUAGCAUGGUGCCUGAGCAAGGAUGAUAAGCAAAAAAGAUAUUUCUCCUUUACUUCU